UGGGGAAUAUUGGACAAUGGGGGGAACCCUGAUCCAGCCAUGCCGCGUGUGUGAAGAAGGCCUUAUGGUUGUAAAGCACUUUAAGCGAGGAGGAGGGUACUGGUAUUAAUACUACCAGGUACUGGACGUUACUCGCAGAAUAAGCACCGGCUAACUCUGUGCCAGCAGCCGCGGUAAUACAGAGGGUGCGAGCGUUAAUCGGAUUUACUGGGCGUAAAGCGUGCGUAGGCGGCUAAUUGAGUCGGAUGUGAAAUCCCCGAGCUUAACUUGGGAAUUGCAUUCGAUACUGGUUAGCUAGAGUGUGGGAGAGGAUGGUAGAAUUCUAGGUGUAGCGGUGAAAUGCGUAGAGAUCUGGAGGAAUACCGAUGGCGAAGGCAGCCAUCUGGCCUAACACUGACGCUGAGGUACGAAAGCAUGGGGAGCAAACAGG
rnacentral:rRNA from 1 species